UUCACCUGCGGGAUCGUCUGAGACCAGCCACCCGAACAGCUGAUGAAACUACUUAACCUCACUGCAGUUUGGCGUCGUGACUGACUUCAGUGGGCAAAUACUCACCUUCUAUGGCCACUGGGACGCUGGAGAAGUGUAUGGAUUUGUGUGGCAUAAUGCACGGCCCCAUAUCCCAAGGAUCUGUACACAAUUCCUGGAAGC